rnacentral:lncRNA from 1 species
UCAUGUCCAUUAUCUAUGCCAUUUCGUUCAAAUCAUUUCAUUUUUAACAAGCCAGUUCAUUUAAUUUUUAUUACUAACUUUUUGAUCCAAAUGAACCUAAGCUUGUGUUUAUUCCUCAUUUCAAUUUACAAUCCAUAACAUAGACCCCAUAACCAUUAAUCCAUUACCAUUCAAAUUCAAUACACAUUCAAACCAUUUCCAUAAAUAACAUAUCCAAUGGCAUUCAAACUUUCAUUAAUAACUAGCUUUACGUUUAACAUAGAUCCAAACAAGAA